rnacentral:rRNA from 2 species
UGAUCUUUAGGGGGCCUGAGAGGGUGAUCCCCCACACUGGUACUGAGACACGGACCAGACUCCUACGGGAGGCAGCAGUGAGGAAUAUUGGACAAUGGGUGAGAGCCUGAUCCAGCCAUCCCGCGUGAAGGACGACGGCCCUAUGGGUUGUAAACUUCUUUUGUAUAGGGAUAAACCUACUCUCGUGAGAGUAGCUGAAGGUACUAUACGAAUAAGCACCGGCUAACUCCGUGCCAGCAGCCGCGGUAAUACGGAGGGUGCAAGCGUUAUCCGGAUUUAUUGGGUUUAAAGGGUCCGUAGGCGGGCUUGUAAGUCAGUGGUGAAAUCUCAUAGCUUAACUAUGAAACUGCCAUUGAUACUGCAGGUCUUGAGUAAAGUAGAAGUGGCUGGAAUAAGUAGUGUAGCGGUGAAAUGCAUAGAUAUUACUUAGAACACCAAUUGCGAAGGCAGGUCACUAUGUUUUAACUGACGCUGAUGGACGAAAGCGUGGGGAGCGAACAGGAUUAGAUACCCUGGUAGUCCACGCCGUAAACGAUGCUAACUCGUUUUUGGGGCUUCGGCUUCAGAGACUAAGCGAAAGUGAUAAGUUAGCCACCUGGGGAGUACGUUCGCAAGAAUGAAACUCAAAGGAAUUGACGGGGGCCCGCACAAGCGGUGGAUUAUGUGGUUUAAUUCGAUGAUACGCGAGGAACCUUACCAAGGCUUAAAUGGGAAUUGACAGGUUUAGAAAUAGACUUUUCUUCGGACAAUUUUCAAGGUGCUGCAUGGUUGUCGUCAGCUCGUGCCGUGAGGUGUUAGGUUAAGUCCUGCAACGAGCGCAACCCCUGUCACUAGUUGCCAUCAUUAAGUUGGGGACUCUAGUGAGACUGCCUACGCAAGUAGAGAGGAAGGUGGGGAUGACGUCAAAUCAUCACGGCCCUUACGCCUUGGGCCACACACGUAAUACAAUGGCCAGUACAGAGGGCAGCUACCAGGCGACUGGAUGCGAAUCUCGAAAGCUGGUCUCAGUUCGGAUUGGAGUCUGCAACUCGACUCUAUGAAGCUGGAAUCGCUAGUAAUCGCAUAUCAGCCAUGAUGCGGUGAAUACGUUCCCGGGCCUUGUACACACCGCCCGUCAAGCCAUGGAAGUUUGGGGUACCUGAAGUCGGUGACCGUAACAGGAGCUGCCUAGGGUAAAACAAGUAACUAGGGCUAAGUCGUAACAAGGUAGCCGUACCGGAAGGUGCGGCUGGAACAUCU